rnacentral:rRNA from 1 species
GGAAUUUUCCGCAAUGGGCGAAAGUCUGACGGAGCGACGCUGCGUGAAGGAUGACGGCCUGCGGGUUGUAAACUUCUUUUCUCGAAGAAGAAGCUCUGACGGUAUUCGAGGAAUAAGCAUCGGCUAAUUCCGUGCCAGCAGCCGCGGUAAUACGGGAGUGGCAAGCGUUAUCCGGAAUUAUUGGGCGUAAAGCGUCCGCAGGCGGCCCUUCAAGUCUGCUGUUAAAAAGUGGAGCUUAACUCCAUCAUGGCAGUGGAAACUGUUGGGCUUGAGUGUGGUAGGGGCAGAGGGGAUUCCCGGUGUAGCGGUGGAAUGCGUAGAUAUCGGGAAGAACACCAGUGGCGAAGGCGCUCUGCUGGGCCAUCACUGACGCUCAUGGACGAAAGCCAGGGGAGCGAAAGGGAUUAGAUACCCCAGUAGUC